rnacentral:rRNA from 1 species
GACGAACGCUGGCGGCGUGCCUAAUACAUGCAAGUCGAGCGGACUUUCAAGAAGCUUGCUUUUUGAAAGUUAGCGGCGGACGGGUGAGUAACACGUGGGCAACCUGCCUGCAAGACGGGGAUAACUCCGGGAAACCGGGGCUAAUACCGGAUAACAUCUUCCUUCGCAUGAAGGAAGGUUGAAAGGCGGCGCAAGCUGCCGCUUGCAGAUGGGCCCGCGGCGCAUUAGCUAGUUGGUGAGGUAACGGCUCACCAAGGCGACGAUGCGUAGCCGACCUGAGAGGGUGAUCGGCCACACUGGGACUGAGACACGGCCCAGACUCCUACGGGAGGCAGCAGUAGGGAAUCUUCCGCAAUGGACG